rfam:Desulfomicrobium orale DSM 12838, complete genome.
GGGGGUGUAGCUCAGCUGGGAGAGCGCCUGCCUUGCACGCAGGAGGUCAUCAGUUCGAUCCUGUUCACCUCCA